CCUACGGUGGGCAGCAGUGGGGAAUAUUGCACAAUGGGGGGAACCCUGAUGCAGCGACGCCGCGUGGGUGAAGGAGUAUUUCGGUAUGUAGCACCCUAUCAGCAGGGAAGAACAAUGACGGUACCUGACUAAGAAGCACCGGCUAAAUACGUGCCAGCAGCCGCGGUAAUACGUAUGGUGCAAGCGUUAUCCGGAUUUACUGGGUGUAAAGGGAGAGCAGUAGGCGCGUUAAGCCUGGUGUGAAAGCCCUCGGCCCAACCGCGGGACUGCAUGGGAAACUGGCGCGCUUGAGUGCAGGAGGGGUAGGCGGAAUUCCUAGUGUAGCGGUGAAAUGCGUAGAUAUUAGGAGGAACACCAGUGGCGAAGGCGGCCUACUGGACGGUGACUGACGCUGAGGCUCGAAAGCGUGGGGAGCAAACAGGAUUAGAUACCCCUGUAGUC
rnacentral:rRNA from 1 species